rnacentral:rRNA from 2 species
AACACCGCGUGAGUGAAGAAGGGUUUCGGCUCGUAAAACUCUGUUGUUGGAGAAGAACGUGCGUAAGAGUAACUGUUUACGCAGUGACGGUAUCCAACCAGAAAGUCACGGCUAACUACGUGCCAGCAGCCGCGGUAAUACGUAGGUGGCAAGCGUUAUCCGGAUUUAUUGGGCGUAAAGCGAGCGCAGGCGGUUGCUUAGGUCUGAUGUGAAAGCCUUCGGCUUAACCGAAGAAGUGCAUCGGAAACCGGGCGACUUGAGUGCAGAAGAGGACAGUGGAACUCCAUGUGUAGCGGUGGAAUGCGUAGAUAUAUGGAAGAACACCAGUGGCGAAGGCGGCUGUCUGGUCUGCAACUGACGCUGAGGCUCGAAAGCAUGGGUAGCGAACAGGAUUAGAUACCCUGGUAGUCCAUGCCGUAAACGAUGAGUGCUAGGUGUUGGAGGGUUUCCGCCCUUCAGUGCCGAAGCUAACGCAUUAAGCACUCCGCCUGGGGAGUACGACCGCAAGGUUGAAACUCAAAGGAAUUGACGGGGGCCCGCACAAGCGGUGGAGCAUGUGGUUUAAUUCGAAGCUACGCGAAGAACCUUACCAGGUCUUGACAUCUUGCGCCAACCUCAGAGAUGAGGCGU